GAACCCUGACUGCCCUCACACUAUAACAAUAGAACCCUGACUGCCCUAACACUAUAACAAUAGAACCCUGACUGCCCUAACACUAUAACAAUAGAACCCUGACUGCCCUAACACUAUAACAAUAGAACCCUGACUGCCCUAACACUAUAACAAUAGAACCCUGACUGCCCUAACACUAUAACAAUAUAACCCUGACUGCCCUAACACUAUAACAAUAGAACCCUGACUGCCCUAACACUAUAACAAUAGAACCCUGACUGCCCUAACACUAUAACAAUAGAACCCUGACUGCCCUAACACUAUAACAAUAGAACCCUGACUGCCCUAACACUAUAACAAUAUAACCCCGACUGCCCUCACACUAUAACAAUAGAACCCUGACUGCCCUCACACUAUAACAAUAUAACCCUGACUGCCCUAACACUAUAACAAUAUAACCCUGACUGCCCUAACACUAUAACAAUAUAACCCUGACUGCCCUAACACUAUAACAAUAGAACCCUGACUGCCCUAACACUAUAACAAUAGAACCCUGACUGCCCUAACACUAUAACAAUAGAACCCUGACUGCCCUAACACUAUAACAAUAGAACCCUGACUGCCCUCACACUAUAACAAUAUAACCCUGACUGCCCUAACACUAUAACAAUAUAACCCUGACUGCCCUAACACUAUAACAAUAUAACCCUGACUGCCCUCACACUAUAACAAUAUAACCCUGACUGUCCUCACACUAUAACAAUAUAACCCUGACUGCCCUAACACUAUAACAAUAUAACCCUGACUGCCCUAACACUAUAACAAUAGAACCCUGACUGCCCUAACACUAUAACAAUAGAACCCUGACUGCCCUCACACUAUAACAAUAGAACCCUGACUGCCCUAACACUAUAACAAUAUAACCCUGACUGCCCUAACACUAUAACAAUAUAACCCUGACUGCCCUAACACUAUAACAAUAUAA